AAUCCUGCAGGCAGUUAGCUUGAUAAAGAUAUAUCAACUUUUUUAACAUCAGGGAAAUUCAUACUAAUACGAAACUAUACUAAAUAAAUUAGUAGAAAAAUAAAAUAUUCCAGAAAAAGCAAGCAUUCCUCCAGUAGUGUUAUUUGAUUCGUAGCAGCAGUUCUGCAUAGUAUCAUUUACCUGUAAGCUAAACCAACAAAUUCAAAGAGUUUCAAAUUGUGAAAUUUGAUUUUGUAGCAUUAUGCUAAAUGACAAUCAGAUGGAAAGGACAUUGAAAUAAAAAUGUACCAAGAAAAGUGAACCAGUAG
rnacentral:lncRNA from 1 species